rnacentral:rRNA from 1 species
UGACAGUACUCCUACGGGGAGGCAGCAGUGGGGGAAUAUUGCACAAUGGGCGCAAGCCUGAUGCAGCCAUGCCGCGUGUGUGAAGAAGGCCUUCGGGUUGUAAAGCACUUUCAGUCGUGAGGAAGGUGGUAGUGUUAAUAGCACUAUCAUUUGACGUUAGCGACAGAAGAAGCACCGGCUAACUCCGUGCCAGCAGCCGCGGUAAUACGGAGGGUGCGAGCGUUAAUCGGAAUUACUGGGCGUAAAGCGCAUGCAGGUGGUUUGUUAAGUCAGAUGUGAAAGACCCGGGGCUCAACCUCGGAAUAGCAUUUGAAACUGGCAGACUAGAGUACUGUAGAGGGGGGUAGGAAUUUCAGGUGUAGCGGUGAAAUGCGUAGAGAUCUGAAGGAAUACCGGUGGCGAAGGCGGCCCCCUGGACAGAUACUGACACUCAGAUGCGAAAGCGUGGGGAGCAAACAGGAUUAGAUACCCUGGUAG